rnacentral:rRNA from 1 species
AGAAUCAACGCUGGCGGCGUGCCUAACACAUGCAAGUCGCACGAGAAAGGGGAGCAAUCCCUGAGUACAGUGGCGCACGGGUGAGUAACACGUGAAUUAUCUACCUCCGAGUGGGGAAUAACUGAGAGAAAUCUUAGCUAAUACCGCAUAACACUUACGAGUCAAAGCAGCAAUGCGCUUGGAGAGGAGUUCGCGGCCGAUUAGUUAGUUGGCGGGGUAAUGGCCCACCAAGACGAUGAUCUGUA